rnacentral:rRNA from 2 species
UUUAAUUGGACUCAACGCCGGACAUCUCACCAGCAUCGACUGUAGUAAUGACGAUCAGGUUGAUGACCUUAUCCGAGCUUCAGAGAGGAGGUGCAUGGCCGCCGUCAGCUCGUACCGUGAGGCGUCCUGUUAAGUCAGGCAACGAGCGAGACCCGCACCCUUACUUGCCAGCAGUACCGCGAGGUAGCUGGGGACAGUAGGGGGACCGCCGUGGCUAACACGGAGGAAGGAACGGGCAACGGUAGGUCAGUAUGCCCCGAAUGUGCUGGGCAACACGCGGGCUACAAUGGUCGAGACAAAGGGUUCCAACUCCGAAAGGAGACGGUAAUCUCAGAAACUCGAUCGUAGUUCGGAUUGUGGGCUGCAACUCGCCCACAUGAAGCUGGAUUCGGUAGUAAUCGCGUGUCACAAGCGCGCGGUGAAUACGUCCCUGCUCCUUGCACACACCGCC